UUCUGGACAGAGAGAAGCAAUCAGCAGCCACCCACUGCAGCUGGAGACCCCAGAACUUGGUGUCUGCCUCCCAUGGCACUGGGAAGGCUGGAGGCAGGAAGAGGAAGACAGAGCUCUUACCAGGGGGAGGCAGAGAUGGCACAGCAAGAGACAUGCCCCCAGAAUGCCACCAAUGCCCCAGGACAGGCCCACCCAUGGGACCAGGUUAUCAGGGGCCCUGUGGGGAUGGGGUGGAAUCUGAAGGGUGAGCCUUCAUCCCCAGGCUGGGAGUGGGUGAGACGAGACUGGGGCCUGUAUGUCUGAGUGCCCCCCAAACCCAGCAGUCAUGUUGCGAGGAAACGAAAUCACGUUACUUCUUCCAGCUGAUGUUCCACUUGUUUCUUCUGUUGUUUCUGUGGGGAGAGUCAAAUAAGGUGAUGGAGGGUGGCCCCCUCAACUCUAUUCCCCAGACCAGGAAGCGGUAGGCAGGGGCCAGGAAUGGAUUUUAAAGGCAAAGUUCUCAGACAUAAUGGGAACACGAACCGGUAAACUCUCCUCAAGCUCCCAAGGACAGAGGAUUUGGGUCUUUGUUGGCUUUUGCCCACAGCCACAGAACUCAAAGUCUGAAUCUGGAAUCUCUUGAGAGGACAGCAAUAUAAACCUCUAGAGAUGGAGUUUCAGAAAGGCCCCUCCUUCUGGCAGCUUGUGAUUUAGAGAAGUGGGUUCAUUCAAUAAACAUUUACUGAGCAUGUAUGGGCCAGGUACGGUUCUUUACAGCAGAUAUAGGAUGGAAAAGGACAGACAGGAGCCCUUAGCCCUGAGGUUUCCGUUCUAGGGGGCCUUUAAAUCUCAGACUCGAGAGCUAACAGAGACCUUUGAUACUCACUACCUCCUCUGGAAACACGAGCCCAAAAAGGAGAGGUGGCUUGUCCAGAAUCAAAGAGCAAAUUAGGGACUGAGUCAUGGCAGAAAUACGGGGCCCUUGACAACCAGUCAGGCUAGCACUUCCCCAAGAGGCAACAACCCCAGGGCGUGUGUAGCAAGGACUCGAGCAGGGGUGUCUGGAGAGGAGAGAGUCGGCAAAGAGGGCAGCAAAAGAAGAGCCAUGCUGCAUGCUCUGGGGUCCCUCCAGGUGAGGCCUGGGCACCCAAGCUCCCUAUUUGUCCCAGGCACCAGGGACCCCCAGCCCCUUUCUUCAGGGCCCCAAGGGGAAACUGGAGCCCAGGAUUGGCAGCGUGGAAUCAGGGGACCCCAGUGGACUCUUACCAGAGAUUUGAUGGUGUUCUUCAGUUGACUGAUUUCUACGGACCUUGAAUCCAGGACUACUGCUCGUUCUUGGCACGGGCUCUGAGGUGCAUGCAGAGAGGAGGAGGUGGAGCAGGAGUGGGGGGAGAGGUAGAGAGAACAAUCAUUAGGGCUGGGGUGUGUAGGCUGUCUCAGCUGGCAGAGGGGCACCCAGUCCCACCUGGAGGAGGAGGUUGGAGGGUUGACCCGAAGGGUCACUGCACCUCCGCCCAGAGCCUCUUACCUCCAGAUCUUUCAGGGUAGCAGAUGAUGUAGGGCCUUCCCUGUGGAAACCUGUUGCUGACUACAAGAGAUGAGAGUGCACAUGGAGAUGUUCUGUCCCCCACAGUGUCUGAGCCCUCUGACUUCCUUUCUUCCCCAUCAACUGGCAACAUUUUCUUUUCUGCCUAUCUUGGACCUUUUGUCCCAUAACUCCUUUGUGCCAACUUCUCUCAUGGUUCUUAUCUCCCCACCAUCCCAUCCUGGGGCCCCUUCAGUGACUCCUGAUGGCAAGUGGCUGUUCUCAUUGUCCUGGUUUCCCCCUGAGACUGGGGAUGAGGAAAAUCAAACCAUAUCCUGGGUGUCCUGAGUGUUUACAGCAGGCCAUGUACUAGGGAUUAACAUAAAAACAACAAUAACAAAUCUCAUUUAAACUUCACAAAUGGAAGUGAAACAAUAACACCUCUAUUAUACAGAUGUGAAAAGAGAGGCCCGAUGAGGUCUAGCAACUUGCCCUAAAUCAUAUCCCUAGCAGAGCAGAUGGAGAGGCAGGAUUCAAACCCAGAAUUCCUUUUUUUUUUUUU